GAUGAACGCUGGCGGCGUGCCUAAUACAUGCAAGUCGAGCGAACGGACGAGAAGCUUGCUUCUCUGAUGUUAGCGGCGGACGGGUGAGUAACACGUGGAUAACCUACCUAUAAGACUGGGAGAACUUCGGGAAACCGGAGCUAAUACCGGAUAAUAUUUUGAACCGCAUGGUUCAAAAGUGAAAGACGGUCUUGCUGUCACUUAUAGAUGGAUCCGCGCUGCAUUAGCUAGUUGGUAAGGUAACGGCUUACCAAGGCAACGAUGCAUAGCCGACCUGAGAGGGUGAUCGGCCACACUGGAACUGAGACACGGUCCAGACUCCUACGGGAGGCAGCAGUAGGGAAUAUUCCGCAAUGGGCGCAAGCCUGACGCAGCCACGCCGCGUGAGUGAUGAAGGCCUUCGGAUCGUAAAACUCUGUUAUUAGGGAAGAACAUAUGUGUAAGUAACUGCGCACAUCCUGACGGUACCUAAUCAGAAAGCCACGGCUAACUACGUG
rnacentral:rRNA from 1 species